GAAGGUCUUUCUUUGGUUGUAACUUGGCUUUUAGAUAGGGUUAGAAAGAAAGGAUGGCAUGAGGCCCAAACGACACUUGAAGUGGGUUAGGACUUACAACUUUUGGAAUCGACUCAAACAAUGAGGAUUAACUCAUGCCCUAGUUUCUUUUGACUGGGUGAUUCUAAAUUAUUUAUUUGGUUGGACCGAGUUCUUAGUAGGGCAGCCUACGUAUCUCACCC
rnacentral:lncRNA from 1 species